UGGGGAAUUUUGGACAAUGGGCGAAAGCCUGAUCCAGCAAUGCCGCGUGUGAAGAAGGCCUUCGGGUUGUAAAGCACUUUUGUCCGGAAAGAAAUCCUUGGCUCUAAUACAGUCGGGGGAUGACGGUACCGGAAGAAUAAGCACCGGCUAACUACGUGCCAGCAGCCGCGGUAAUACGUAGGGUGCAAGCGUUAAUCGGAAUUACUGGGCGUAAAGCGUGCGCAGGCGGUUUGCUAAGACCGAUGUGAAAUCCCCGGGCUCAACCUGGGAACUGCAUUGGUGACUGGCAGGCUAGAGUAUGGCAGAGGGGGGUAGAAUUCCACGUGUAGCAGUGAAAUGCGUAGAGAUGUGGAGGAAUACCGAUGGCGAAGGCAGCCCCCUGGGCCAAUACUGACGCUCAUGCACGAAAGCGUGGGGAGCAAACAGGAUUAGAUACCCUGGUAGUCCACGCCCUAAACGAUGUCAACUAGUUGUUGGGGAUUCAUUUCCUUAGUAACGUAGCUAACGCGUGAAGUUGACCGCCUGGGGAGUACGGUCGCAAGAUUAAAACUCAAAGGAAUUGACGGGGUCAUAGCUGUUUCCU
rnacentral:rRNA from 1 species